ensembl:lncRNA
UUUAUGUAUUUUAAUAAUAAUAAUAAUGGCUUGUAGAGGCCAGUUUUUACUCACAAACAAGUGCUCAGCCAGACUGAAAAACAGGAAGCUGUAGUGCACAAGGCAUAUUAAUAAAUAUAGACACAAAAAGAGGAACUCCCCAUAUAAACAACGUUCAAAAAUGUGUGAAGUAUAAAGUACCGAAAUAACACUAUAUAAGUCACAGUUGAUGAUUCUAAUGUUAGAGAGCUCUUGCAAUUGGCGUCUGAGCUGUGCAGAGGUCUCUCUUAAGACAGGUACUUAUGUAGGUUAGCAUGAGGUUGAGUUAAUUUUAUACACAAUGCAUAACUGUGCUUGUUUAGAGUUGAUGUUCCGUCCAAACAGGUUUUAAGCUUCACUGGUGAGAGUGUCCAGGUGAUACAUGUUGAGGGAUGAUGAGAACAUAGCAGGUGAAUUGCAUGCACGCUUACAAACACACAUGAUUUAAAUAUAGGCCAGGCCAAAGGCCUGGACUUGAUGUAGCUUUCAACUUUACAGCUCCUAACUUGUAGGAAUGGCGUGGAGUGUAAUGAAUGAAUGCAAAACAUGCUUACAGACACAAACAUGAUAUGAGUUUAUUUUACAGGGUAAAGGUGGACCACAGGUUGCUUUGUUUCUGCUUAGCAACUACUGAGGUAAAAGGUGUUAAAGAUAAAUAUGCAAUAAGUGAACAGGAAAUGUGUCAGGGUGAGCCGGGUGAAACAAAAUGUUGUAGAUAAUGGAAACUUGUUUAACUGGCAUUAACAGUAACCUUUGUAUGUUAUGUAUAUCCUUGAAGCCAAAGGAGGCAUAAAUCCAGAUAGAAAACUUUGAAGUGUGCUUUUUAGCGGAGAUUUAGGCUGACAUGGGGAUGGUGUGCAUUUUAUUUGGGUUGUGUUUAAUAAGACUAAAAGCGUUGCUCACACACAUAAAGAGUAUUGAGAUUAAAUAAAGUUAAUAUAAUGGAUAGAGCCCAGAACAGGAUAAUACAUAAGUAAAAUCAAAUGUAAUGUUUGAUUUCACUUUUAUUGGGAAACAAUCAGGCUAGAAAUGUGAGUAACCUAUGUUUAAACUGUGAAAACCCUCUCCACAUACAUUAAAACUGUGCAACUCUGAGUGGGCCAUGCAAUCAAGCAACUGUUACAUAUCUGUAUUAAACUAGCCAACAUAGACUCACCACCACAUGGUGUUGCCCUGCAGCGGGGGCAGAAAAUCAUUUGCAAACCAGGGACCUUAUGUUGAUUAUUAUAUUCUUACUUAUGUACACACACACACACAGAAAGGAAAAAUUUCAAAACAAAACAAAAAACAACUUCGCGUAACCUGUCAAGCACAGGAGCAAAAUAAAAAUCUCUUUGGGCUCUGUUAAAAUUUCUUUAGUAAAAGUGUAAAAGGUCAAACCUAAGAGGUUGGGCAACCCGGAAAGUCCCUCCAGUAUAAGGAGUUAAUAGUCAGGAAACAUUCUUCACUUUAACGCCUUUUUUCUGAAAAACCACUGACUCAUAGAUGUAGAUUGACAUACAAGUGCACAUACAUCCAGAUGUGCAUUUAGACAUUAAAAGUGUAGAGACAUGUACACACAGAUUGGCAAACCGGUACAGAGUCUAGCUGAAGAGCUUAACAAAGCAGACGUGGCAGUAGGGUUUGUGAUUUUGCCUGAUAUGAUAUUGGGAACCAACUUUGAAUAAUGACAGGAACCUGAGAUGAACACAGUAAGUUAGUAGGGUGUAGCAGAGAAAGGGUCAGAGCGAAGGUAGUGGACCUGGGAAUAGUGUAGUGACGUCUUUGGAAGACGUCAAGAGAGGGAAUUGUGGAAUUACAGGGAUUAUUUUACAUAACCAUCAUCUUUGUCAUUGCAUUAAUUAUCAUUUCAUCAAAGUGUUUAUUGAAGCUGCUGGCAUUAUGUUAUAAUUUAUAUUAUAGGGGUUAUCAUAAUCAAAUAUUAACAUGUUUAUUACAGGUGCAGUUAUAACUACUUUAAAAUGAUUGAGUUAAAUAUAUAUAUCAAAACUCAUAUGCUGAGUAUAUUGUUACAGUACAAAAGUAGCUGAGCAAAGGCCUGAAUGUAUUCAGCUUCUUGUUGCAUUUGAGUUUGCUUAGUUACAGGUGACGUAAGGAUGUCCAGUCCAUGGUGACCUCAAAGGCCUUAGAUCAUCACCAUAUUCUUAAGAGUAUGCCACAAGGAGGAACCUC